rnacentral:rRNA from 1 species
AGAGUUUGAUCCUGGCUCAGAUUGAACGCUGGCGGCAUGCCUUACACAUGCAAGUCGAACGGUAACGCGGGGGCAACCCUGGCGACGAGUGGCGAACGGGUGAGUAAUACAUCGGAACAUAUCCAGUAGCGGGGGAUAACCUAUCGAAAGAUGGACUAAUACCGCAUACGAUCUACGGAUGAAAGCAGGGGACCGCAAGGCCUUGCACUAUUGGAGUGGCCGAUGUCGGAUUAGCUAGUUGGUGGGGUAAAAGCUUACCAAGGCGACGAUCCGUAGCUGGUCUGAGAGGACGAUCAGCCACACUGGAACUGAGACACGGUCCAGACUCCUACGGGAGGCAGCAGUGGGGAAUUUUGGACAAUGGGCGCAAGCCUGAUCCAGCCAUGCCGCGUGAGUGAAGAAGGCCUUCGGGUUGUAAAGCUCUUUCGGUGAAGACGAAACGGUUCAUGCUAAUAACGUGAACUAAUGACGGUACUCACAGAAGAAGCACCGGCUAACUACGUGCCAGCAGCCGCGGUAAUACGUAGGGUGCAGGCGUUAAUCGGAAUUACUGGGCGUAAAGCGUGCGCAGGCGGUUUGCUAAGACAGGUGUGAAAUCCCCAGGGCUUAACCUGGGAAUUGCGCUUGUAACUGGCAAGCUAGAGUGUGGCAGAGGGGGGUGGAAUUCCACGUGUAGCAGUGAAAUGCGUAGAUAUGUGGAGGAACACCGAUGGCGAAGGCAGCCCCCUGGGUUAACACUGACGCUCAUGCACGAAAGCGUGGGGAGCAAACAGGAUUAGAUACCCUGGUAGUCCACGCCCUAAACUAUGUCAACUAGUUGUCGGGGAAGAAAUUCCUUGGUAACGAAGCUAACGCGUGAAGUUGACCGCCUGGGGAGUACGGCCGCAAGGUUAAAACUCAAAGGAAUUGACGGGGACCCGCACAAGCGGUGGAUUAUGUGGAUUAAUUCGAUGCAACGCGAAAAACCUUACCUACCCUUGACAUGCUAGGAAGCCCGCAGAGAUGUGGGUGUGCCCGAAAGGGAACCUAGACACAGGUGCUGCAUGGCUGUCGUCAGCUCGUGUCGUGAGAUGUUGGGUUAAGUCCCGCAACGAGCGCAACCCUUGCCAUUAGUUGCUACAUUCAGUUGGGCACUCUAAUGGGACCGCCGGUGACAAACCGGAGGAAGGUGGGGAUGACGUCAAGUCCUCAUGGCCCUUAUGGGUAGGGCUUCACACGUAAUACAAUGGUCGGUACAGAGGGCUGCCAACCCGCAAGGGGGAGCUAAUCCCAGAAAGCCGAUCGUAGUCCGGAUUGUAGUCUGCAACUCGACUGCAUGAAGCCGGAAUCGCUAGUAAUCGCGGAUCAGCAUGUCGCGGUGAAUACGUUCCCGGGUCUUGUACACACCGCCCGUCACACCAUGGGAGUGGGUUCCACCAGAAGUAGUUAGCCUAACCGCAAGGAGGGCGAUUACCACGGUGAGAUUCAUGACUGGGGUGAAGUCGUAACAAGGUA